AUUGAACGCUGGCGGCAUGCUUUACACAUGCAAGUCGAACGGUAACAGGCCUUCGGGCGCUGACGAGUGGCGAACGGGUGAGUAAUGCAUCGGAACGUGCCCAGUCGUGGGGGAUAACGCAGCGAAAGCUGUGCUAAUACCGCAUACGAUCUGCGGAUGAAAGCGGGGGACCUUCGGGCCUCGCGCGAUUGGAGCGGCCGAUGUCAGAUUAGGUAGUUGGUGGGGUAAAGGCUCACCAAGCCAACGAUCUGUAGCUGGGCUGAGGGGACCACCAGCCAUACUGGGACUGAGACACGGCCCAGACUCCUACGGGAGGCAGCAGUGGGGAAUUUUGGACAAUGGGCGCAAGCCUGAUCCAGAAAUGCGGCGUGCAGGAAGAAGGCCUUCGGGUUGUAAACUGCUUUUGUACGGAGCGAAAAGGCUCCCUCUAAUACAGGGGGCUCAUGACGGUACCGUAAGAAUAAGCACCGGCUAACUACGUGCCAGCCGCCGCGGUAACAC
rnacentral:rRNA from 1 species